GUGGGGAAUAUUGGACAAUGGGCGAAAGCCUGAUCCAGCCAUGCCGCGUGUGUGAAGAAGGUCUUCGGAUUGUAAAGCACUUUAAGUUGGGAGGAAGGGCAGUAAGUUAAUACCUUGCUGUUUUGACGUUACCGACAGAAUAAGCACCGGCUAACUUCGUGCCAGCAGCCGCGGUAAUACGAAGGGUGCAAGCGUUAAUCGGAAUUACUGGGCGUAAAGCGCGCGUAGGUGGUUCAGCAAGUUGAAGGUGAAAUCCCCGGGCUCAACCUGGGAACUGCCUCCAAAACUACUGAGCUAGAGUACGGUAGAGGGUAGUGGAAUUUCCCGUGUAGCGGUGAAAUGCGUAGAUAUAGGAAGGAACACCAGUGGCGAAGGCGACUACCUGGACUGAUACUGACACUGAGGUGCGAAAGCGUGGGGAGCAAACAGGAUUAGAAACCCGGGUAGUCC
rnacentral:rRNA from 1 species